AAUCACUUCAUACUCUGUCAGCUUUCUGUCGCCUAGGCUGAUGUCAGCACUGUGUCAGGGCUUCCGUCCAUGGUCACCAGCAUAUUGCGUCACCACAGAACCCGGUCCUGCAAGGUUCCAAACCGGAUCCUGGGAGGCUGGAACCCAUGCCACGACUGAGAGAAAUUGAGAGAGGAGGCAAAGACAGAGGGGGGAGAGAAAGAUAGACACCUACAGACCUGCUUCACCACCUUGAAGUGACCCCACCCAGCAGGUUGGAAAGAAAUUGAGAGGGGAGGGGAAGACAGAGAGGGAAGAGAAAGAUGCCUGCAGACCUGCUUCACCACCUAUGAGGUGACCCCACAGCUGGUCAGGAACCAGAGGCAAAAUUCCUGAUACAUAUGCCAGCCCUUGGGCUGUGUGCCAAGAGUGCUUACCUCAACUGUGCUACUGCACAAGCCCCAUCUGCUUGUUUCAAAGCAUUCUGUGUAUUGUGGGUUUUUGCACAGUGAAUUUUAUGAGUUGAUUUUCAUAAAUUACAUAGGCUAAUUCCAAUGGAAAAUGGUGAAGCAAGCAGCACCAUUGUCUCGAGAUAUUUGAACCCAGGUUGUGUGAUGCUCAAACCAGGACCCUGAGAGACUCAAACUUGGGCCCCAUGAGGCUCGAACCAUGGUCCCAGAUUGCUUGAUACCUGAACCCCUGAAUUUCAAACCCGGGUUCCACAAGGAUUGAACCUGUUUUCUACGAGGCUUUAACAUGGGUCCUUCUGCACAGUAGUGUAUGCAUUUAUCCAGGUGUGCUGCCGCCUGACCCUUCACAGUUUCUUUAAGA